rnacentral:rRNA from 1 species
GAUGAACGCUGGCGGCGUGCCUAAUACAUGCAAGUCGAGCGAACAGACGCUGAGCUUGCUCGUCUGACGUUAGCGGCGGACGGGUGUGUCACACGUGGAUCACCUCCCUAUAAGACUGGGAUCACUUCGGGACACCGGCGCUAAUACCGGAUGAUAUACUGAACCGCAUGGUUCAAUAGUGAAAGACGGUUUUGGUGUCACUUAUCGCUGGUUCCGCGCCGCAUUAGCUAGUUGGUAAGGUCACGGCUUAUCAAGGCUACGAUGCGUAACCGACCGGAGGGGGGGAUCGGCGACACUGGAACUGGAACAGGGUCCAGACGCCUACGGGACGCAGCAGUAGGGAAUCGGCCGCAAUGGGCGAAAGCCUUACGGAGCAGCGCGGCGUGAGAGAUGAAGGUCUUCGGAGCGGAAAACUCGGUUAUGAGUGAAGAACAAAUGUGUAAGUAACUAUGCACUGCGUGACGGUACCUAAUCAGAAAGCCACGGCUAACUACGUG